rnacentral:rRNA from 1 species
UCGAACCUACGGGGGGCAACAGUGGGGAAUAUUGCACAAUGGGGGAAACCCUGAUGCAGCAACGCCGCGUGAGUGAGGAAGUAUUUCGGUAUGUAAAGCCCUAUCAGCAGGGAAGAAGAAAUGACGGUACCUGAGUAAGAAGCACCGGCUAAAUACGUGCCAACAGCCGCGGUAAUACGUAUGGUGCAAGCGUUAUCCGGAUUUACUGGGUGUAAAGGGAGCGCAGGCGGCACGGCAAGCCUGAUGUGAAAGCCCGCGGCCCAACCGCGGGACUGCAUUGGGAACUACCGGGCUGGAGAGCCGGG